GAGGCUUCCUCCAACAGCUGAUGGAAUCCAUAGCCAAACAUUAUGUGAACAUCAGGGAAUCUUGUGGAAAAGUACUAGGAAGAAUUGAAGGUUCUGGAGAGGUCAAGGACACCACAAGGAAACCCACAAAACCAGGAAUAGAUUAUUUUCAGGAUAAAUUAAAUGAAAUUUAAGCAUGAUGAAUUUGUCACGAUUCUCCAGAGGAACAUAUAUAUGUUGGAAUGGAGUUGGCUCCCUGGCAGUUGCGGAGGCUGAAGUGUCCUACCAUCUGUUGUCUGCAAACCUGAGAACUAGAAAAGAUAGAGGAAUACCAUGAGCUGUAGGUAUCUGCCAAGAGUUCAUCACAGGAGACCAAGUGUUCAGUUGUUUGACCCUGUAAGG